GACGACGCUGGCGGCGUGGAUUAGGCAUGCAAGUCGAACGGUAGGAUACCUUCGGGGUAUCUGAGAGUGGCGAACGGGUGAGUAACACGUAGGUGAUCUACCCUCAAGAUUGGGACAACCCAGGGAAACUUGGGCUAAUACCGGAUGAAAGCAGCAGUGAUGUUGUUUGAAAGGUGGCGUAAGCUGCCGUUUGGGGGAUGAGCCUGCGCUCUAUUAGUUAGUUGGCGGGGUAAAGGCCCACCAAGGCGAUGAUAGAUAGGCGGCCUUAACGGGUGGUCGCCCACACUGGGAUUGAGAUACGGCCCAGACUCCUACGGGAGGCAGCAGUCGAGAAUAGUCUACAAUGGCCGAAAGGCUGAUAGUGCGACGCCGCGUGAACGAAGAAGCCCUUCGGGGUGUAAAGUUCUUUUAUAUGUGAGCAGUGCUUUCUAUGUGAACAGCAUGGGGAGAGAGAUAUUAGCAUAUGAAUAAGCAACGGCUAACUCCGUG
rnacentral:rRNA from 1 species